GCCUCUUCCUGUUGUUCGCGCGGUCAGCAGCUUUUUUCCCCUUUAAAGGGAAAAAUCCUAAAAAAACUUAUUUUACCUCAACUUUCCUGUUGGUGAUGUGUACAUAUCUGAUCACU